AAUAGAUACCCCGGGUAGUCCUGGCCUAGUAAACGCUGAGCACUUAGUUGGGGUAGGGGCUUUCGGCCCAUACCGAACGCAGAGAAAUCAUUAAGUGCUCCGCCUGGGGAGUAUAGGUCGCAAGGCUGAAACUCAAAGGAAUUGACGGGGGCUCACACAAGUCGGUGGAGUCAUGUGGACUUAAUUCGAGGCAACGCGAAGAACCUUAUCCUGGGUUUAGACAUGCAGGGAUUAAACUCUAUGAAAGUAGAGCCACGCCUUCGGGUGGAACCUGCACAGGUGCUGCAUGGCUGUCGUCAGCUCGUGUCGUGAACGNUGUCGUCGUUAAGUCGCUGAACGAGUCGAACCCUUGUCCUUAGUUGCCAGCGGGUCAGUGCCGGGGACUCGUAAGGAGACCCGGUCCGGUAGUCCGAAACCGGAGGAAGGUCGGGGACGACGUCGAAGUCAUCGACUGGUCCUUUAUGGCCCUAGGGCUGCACGACGUGCUACAUGGUAACGUACAAAGGGACGCGAACCCGNGACGGCAACGCAAACCGUCAAAACGCGUAUCGUUAGUUCGGAUUGCGUACG
rnacentral:rRNA from 1 species